AUUGAACGCUAGCGGGAUGCCUUACACAUGCAAGUCGAACGGAGUGGCGAACGGGUGAGUAAUGUAUCGGAACGUGCCCAGUAGCGGGGGAUAACUACGCGAAAGCGUCGCUAAUACCGCAUACUAUUGGAGCGGCGGAUAGCGGAGUAGCUAGUUGGUGGGGUAACGGCCCACCAAGGAGACGAUCCGUAGCUGGGUUGAGAGGACGACCAGCCAAACUGGGACUGAGACACGGCCCAGACUCCGACGGGAGGCAGCAGUGGGGAAUUUUGGACAAUGGGUGAAACCCUGAUCCAGCCAUCCCGCGUGUGCGAUGAAGGCCGUCGGGUUGUAAAGCACGUUUGGCAGGAAAGCGGUACCUGCAGAAUAAGCACCGGCUAACUACGUGCCAGCAGCCGCGGUAAUAC
rnacentral:rRNA from 1 species